GACUUCGGUCCCGAGUAAAGCGGCGAACGGGUGAGUAACACGUGGGCAACCUGCCUCAAGGACUGGGAUAACUCCGGGAAACCGGGGCUAAUACCGGGCGACGUCGUCCGACGCAAGUCGGCCGACCAAAUGGUAGCUUCGGCCUCCGCCUUGAGAUGGGCCCGCGUCCUAUCAGCUUGUUGGUGAGGUAACGGCUCACCAAGGCUACGACGGGUAGCUGGUCUGAGAGGAUGAUCAGCCACACUGGGACUGAGAUACGGCCCAGACUCCUACGGGAGGCAGCAGUGGGGAAUUUUGCGCAAUGGGCGAAAGCCUGACNNAGCAACGCCGCGUGAGCGAAGAAGGCCUUCGGGUUGUAAAGCUCUGUCAGGGGGAAAGAAGGCACCUGGGUUAAUAGCCCAAGGGCUGACGGUACCCCCAAAGGAAGCCACGGCUAACUACGUGCCAGCAGCCGCGGUAAUACGUAGGUGGCGAGCGUUGUCCGGAAUCAUUGGGCGUAAAGAGCGCGUAGGUGGCUUGUCAGGUCUGAUGUGAAAUCCUGGGGCUCAACUCCAGAACUGCAUCGGAAACCGGCUUGCUAGAGUCUGGGAGAGGAGAGUGGAAUUCCUGGUGUA
rnacentral:rRNA from 1 species